rnacentral:rRNA from 1 species
UACGUAGGGUGCGGGCGUUAAUCGGAAUUACUGGGCGUAAAGCGUGCGCAGGCGGCUCCUUAAGUCAGAUGUGAAAUCCCCGGGCUUAACCUGGGAACUGCGUUUGAAACUGAGGGGCUUGAGUGUGGAAGAGGGGGGUGGAAUUCCAGGUGUAGCAGUGAAAUGCGUAGAGAUCUGGAGGAACACCGAUGGCGAAGGCAGCCCCCUGGGCUAACACUGACGCUCAUGCACGAAAGCGUGGGGAGCAAAC